rnacentral:lncRNA from 1 species
GGUUCACUGAAGAAAGAAAUGGCCCUUGAAGAGAAUUUAGAAAGAUUUUUAUAAGUGAAUACUCACUUAUACAUAAAUAUAGACGUAUAUUUUUUAGUGCUAGUUAGCUAACACAAUAGACAAUCCUGGACAAGUGUUUUCCAUCCUCUCCUGUGAAUCUGAUUUGUGAACCUCUCAUAGCUUUUACUACGCAUGGAGUCCAGGAAAAAUUUGGGACAAAGUGAUCGAUCUUAAUUUCUAGACUUCAUUCUGUCUUCUGUUCUUGACAGAUCUUGCUGUGUUGCUCAGCUGAAGUAUGGUGUUGUGAUCAAAACUCACUGCAGCCUGGAACUCCUGGGCUCAAGACAUCCUCCUGCCUUGGCUCCCGAGUAGCUGGGACCACAGGUGCAAGCCUCUGCACUGCAGUGCUCCUCUGCAGCAACCUCAGAACAGUGGCCCACACUCCUAGAAUUUGAGAAAAUGGCAUCUUCUUCAGAGGACAGAGGUUCGUAGUCUCAGUGGUUUAUUCACCUGCUACAGCUCAGCAUGUGAUGUGGUUUUGCUGUGUCCCCACCCAAUUGUCAUCUUGAAUUGCAGCUCCCAUAAUUCCUAUGUGUUGU